rnacentral:rRNA from 1 species
GAUGAACGCUGGCGGCGUGCCUAAUACAUGCAAGUCGAGCGAACGGACGAGAAGCUUGUUUCUCUGAUGUUAGCGGCGGACGGGUGAGUAACACGUGGAUAACCUACCUAUAAGACUGGGAUAACUUCGGGAAACCGUAGCUAAUACCGGAUAAUAUUUUGAACCGCAUGGUUCAAAAGUGAAAGACUGUCUUGCUGUCACUUAUAGAUGGAUCCGCGCUGCAUUAGCUAGUUGGUAAGGUAACGGCUUACCAAGGCAACGAUGCGUAGCCGACCUGAGAGAGUGAUCGGCCACACUGGAACUGAGACACGGUCCAGACUCCUACGGGAGGCAGCAGUAGGGAAUCUUCCGCAGUGGGCGAAAGCCUGACGGAGCGACGCCGCGUGAGUGAUGAAGGUCUUCGGAUCGUAAAACUCUGUUAUUAGGGAAAAACAUAUGUGUAAGUAACUGUGCACAUCUUGACGGUACCUAAUCAGAAAGCCACGGCUAACUACGUG